GACGUAGGGGGCCAGCGUUGCUCGGAAUUACUGGGCGUAAAGGGUCUGUAGGCGGUGCGGCAAGUCCGGAGUGAAAUCUCCCGGCUCAACUGGGAGGCUGCUUUGGAAACUGCUGUGCUCGAGUGUGGGAGAGGCGCGUGGAAUUGCAGGUGUAGCGGUGAAAUGCGUAGAUAUCUGCAGGAACACCAGAGGCGAAAGCGGCGCGCUGGACCAUAACUGACGCUGAGAGACGAAAGCUAGGGGAGCAAACAGG
rnacentral:rRNA from 1 species